GUCGGGUAUUGUGCCUGUUUCUGGUCCGUUUCCCCGCGGAGAAACCUCACUGAGGUUUCUGGUACUGCAAGACUUCAAGCCCCACACCUUGAGCAGUGAUCUUCCCAGGACAGAUGACAAGAUGCUUCCAGCACAUCAGAUACACGUAGCUCUCUGUUGGUGUGGAAGCCCCGCCUGAUCGCUGCUCACCGUUCAGCUCAUGCUGGAGAGAGGAAUGAGUUCUCCAGAUGCUGCCACGGGGUGAGGUAAGGCUGGAUAAUAGAGGAGGCAGGGAUCCAAGUGACUGCGGAGCAGGACCUCACCCCUUGUACUGAGGCUAUAAAAAGAGCCGUGGAGCUGUGCUGUCAUCUGACCUUUAGGCUGAAUGAUGCAGCGAUACAGACGGUGGAAAGCAUGCUGUUGUUAUGUCAUUCACGAGUGACCGCAUCAUGAAGCAAAGUACUGGGAUUGCAUUGGCAAGCAUAACGUCGUCCUGGAAUUGCACUGGCAAGCAUAAUGUUGUCCUGACUUGAGAAUAUUUCACCUAUCAAUAAAAGAGUUUCAUCAUUUU